UCCUCGGGUGCAGAUACCAGAGCGGGAAACACCCGGUCCCAUUCCGAACCCGGCCGUUAAGCCGCUCUGGGCCGAUGGUAGUAUGGAGGCGACUCCAUGUGAGAGUAGGUAGUGCCCGGG
rnacentral:rRNA from 1 species